rnacentral:rRNA from 1 species
AUUGAACGCUGGCGGCAUGCCUUACACAUGCAAGUCGAACGGCAGCACGGGUGCUUGCACCUGGUGGCGAGUGGCGAACGGGUGAGUAAUACAUCGGAACGUACCUUAUCGUGGGGGAUAACGCAGCGAAAGUUGCGCUAAUACCGCAUACGCCCUGAGGGGGAAAGCGGGGGACCGUAAGGCCUCGCGCGAUUAGAGAGGCCGAUGUCUGAUUAGCUUGUUGGUGAGGUAAAAGCUCACCAAGGCGAUGAUCAGUAGCUGGUCUGAGAGGACGAUCAGCCACACUUGGACUGAGACACGGCCCAGACUCCUACGGGAGGCAGCAGUGGGGAAUUUUGGACAAUGGGGGCAACCCUGAUCCAGCAAUGCCGCGUGAGUGAAGAAGGCCUUCGGGUUGUAAAGCUCUUUUGUCAGGGAAGAAACAGCAGCUCUAACACAGUCUGCGAAUGACGGUACCUGAAGAAUAAGCACCGGCUAACUACGUGCCAGCCGCCGCGGUAA